rnacentral:rRNA from 1 species
UACGUAGGGGGCAAGCGUUGUCCGGAUUUAUUGGGCGUAAAGAGCUCGUAGGCGGUUUGGUAAGUCGGGUGUGAAAUCUCCACGCUCAACGUGGAGGGGCCACUCGAUACUGCCAUGACUCGAGUCCGGUAGAGGAGAGUGGAAUUCCUGGUGUAGCGGUGAAAUGCGCAGAUAUCAGGAAGAACACCCGUGGCGAAGGCGGCUCUCUGGGACGGUACUGACGCUGAGACGCGAAAGCGUGGGGAGCGAACAGG